rnacentral:lncRNA from 1 species
GUUACAUAACAUUUUAUUUUUGGAAAAUCUGUUUCUUGCAUUUUCCCACAAAUCUGUACCUAAUUUAUUUUUCUUAUACUUAAAUCCAUGUCUUUCUUUAACAACAUUAGUUGGAUAUCAUUAUGUAUAUAUGCUAAUUUAUUUCAUUUUUAGUGAAGUCCUAUCAAAACAUCCAGGAUUGAGAAGACCCAUUUAAAAGGUGCAAUUGAUACAAAAGAACUGAGAAAAAGAGGCAAUCAAAUGUGAGGGUUAAUAGAAGACUUUAGUUUAACAUAAAUACUUCUGUGUUUCUUUUUUGUUUGUGUGUGAUGUGUUUUAGGGAGAACUUGAAAGGCAGCUUUUACAAGCAAACCCAAUCCUUGAAUCAUUUGGAAAUGCAAAAACUGUGAAAAAUGACAACUCUUCUCGUUUUGGCAAGUUUAUACGGAUCAACUUUGAUGUCACUGGUUAUAUCGUUGGAGCCAACAUCGAGACAUAUCUUUUGGAAAAAUCUCGAGCAGUUCGUCAAGCUAAAGAUGAACGUACAUUUCACAUAUUUUACCAACUGCUGUCUGGAGCAGGAGAACAUCUAAAGUCUGACUUGCUUCUUGAAGGAUUUAAUAACUAUAGAUUUUUAUCCAAUGGCUAUAUCCCUAUUCCUGGACAGCAAGACA